rnacentral:rRNA from 1 species
UAAGACAUGCAAGUCGUGCGACAGACCAGGAAUUGAUUACUUCGGUUUGAUUUUCCUGACGAUGAGCGGCGAACGGGUGCGUAACACGUGAGAAAUCUGCCCUUAAGUUCGGGAUAGCCCUACGAAAGUAGAAUUAAUACCGGAUGUGGCCCAGGGAGGGCAUCCUCCCCUGGCUAAAGCUCGGUUAAAGAGCGCUUUUGGAUGAUCUCGCGGUCUAUCAGCUUGUUGGUGAGGUAAUGGCUCACCAAGGCUUUGACGGAUAGCUGGUCUGAGAGGAUGAUCAGCCUCACUGGAACUGAGACACGGUCCAGACACCUACGGGUGGCAGCAGUCGAGAAUCAUUCACAAUGGGCGCAAGCCUGAUGGUGCGACGCCGCGUGGGGGAAGAAGGGCUUCGGUUCGUAAACCCCUGUCAUCUGUGAGUAAGACUCCCAAUAAAAGCUUGGGAGGUUGAUAUUAGCAGAAGAGGAAGGGACGGCUAACUCUGUGCCAGCAGCCGCGGUAAUACAGAGGUCCCAAGCGUUGUUCGGAUUUACUGGGCGUAAAGGGUGCGUAGGCGGCUAGAAAAGUUUGAUGUGAAAUCUCCGGGCUUAACCCGGAAACUGCAUUGAAAACUAUCUGGCUAGAGGAUCGGAGAGGAGAUUGGAAUUCUCGGUGUAGCAGUGAAAUGCGUAGAUAUCGAGAGGAACACCAGUUGCGAAGGCGGAUCUCUGGACGGUUUCUGACGCUGAGGCACGAAAGCUGGGGUAGCGAAGAGGAUUAGAUACCCUCGUAGUCCCAGCCGUAAACGGUGCACACUUGCUGUGGGCGGAUUCGACCCCGUCCGUGGCGAAGCUAACGCGAUAAGUGUGCCGCCUGGGGAGUACGGU